rnacentral:rRNA from 1 species
UUGUUGUUACUUGCUUGAUGGCACACUAGACCCCCAAGGCCACCGGAUGUUGGUGAACCUUGGGGGGGUUUAUCAUGUAUUUUAGAUGAUCUUUACUUAAUUGCAAGCUUGGUUUGGUUUAAGAUUUAGUUCAUUGUGCUUCAUGUCUAGAACUACCAUAUGGAGAGAUCCGUAGUUCUUUCUUGAAUUAUACAGGUAGAUGUGACCUACUCACGUGUAUUAGGUCAUUAAUGAACUAAAAGGGGUUACUUGUAUCGGUACACCGAGAAAUUGGGUGUCGAUAGCCCUCCGAGCUAUACGGAUAGACUAGGGUUUAGUGUAUCCUUAUUUUGGGAUCUCCUUGUACUUAAUGCAAUCGUAGGGAUGUUGGUUAGGAAGAGAUUCCAACCAAUAUCCGUAUGGGAUUAGGGUUCAACCGCCGAGAAAUUGGGGUUGAUCUAAUCUUGAUAUCCUUCGGUCUAAAUCAACCAAGCUACCUUUUAUCCUUCAUCCAUGUAUCAUGAUGACCCCUCAAGGGGAUCCACAUCCAUAGGACUUUACUCUUCAUUGUAGCACUUGCAACCACAUUGUAUGCUUUCAAUUCUAUUUAAUUAUAUCGUAUUUAUUUCUUUGCUUCAGUAGAACAUACAUCCAUGCUUGUGUGGUUAGGUUAGAUAAUAGGCGAUGGAGGAGUAAGAAUAGCUCCUUAGCCCCGUGGAAUACGAUCCUCAUGCUUUUGUGCGAGGUAUUACUUGGCGAUCCUGUACACUUGCGGGGAAUCAAUCACUAUGCCUGAGCGAGGCGAAGCCAAAGGAAACUCUUGUGGAGGCCCACAGCGAUACUGACGUCCAAAUCAUUCUUCUGACUUGGGUAUUGGGUCGAAAGACUAAUCGAACCAUCUAGUAGCUAGUUCCCUCCGAAGUUUCCGUCAGGAUAGUUGAAGCCCGUGCGUGAGUUCUAUUGGGUAAAGCCAAUGAUUAGAGUCAUCGGGGGCGCAACGCCCUCGACCUAUUCUCAAACUUUAAAUAGGUAGGACGGCGCGGCUGCUCAGUGAGCCACGCCACGGAAUCGAGAGCUCCAAGUGGGCCAUUUUUGGUAAGCAGAACUGGCGAUGCGGGAUGAACCAAAAGCCGGGUUACGGUGCCCGACAGCGAGAUAACCUAGAACCCACAAAGGGAGUUGGUCGAUUAAGACAGCAGGACGGUGGUUAUGGAAGUCGAAAUCCUCUAAGGACUAUGUAACAACUCACCUGCCGAAUCAACUAGCCCCGAAAAUGGAUGGCGCUGAAGCGCGCGACCCACACCCAGCGAUUGGGGUGAGCUCCAUGCCCCGAUGAGUAGUAAGGUGCGGUGGCCUUCGCAAAGCCAUGGGCGCGAGCCCGGGUGGAGUGACCGCCCGUGUGGAUCUUGUUGGUAGUAGCAAAUAUUCAUAUGAGAACUUUAAAGGCCGAAGAGGGGAAAGGUUCCAUGUGAAUGGCACUUGCACAUGGGUUAGCCGAUCCUAAGGGACGGGUGAGGCCAGUAAGAGAGCACGUUCACGUGUGAGCUCCGAAAGGGAAUAGGGUUAAAAUUCCUGAGCCGGGAUGUGGCGGCUGACGGUGACGUUAGGGAGUCCGGAGACGCCGGCGGGGCCCCGGGGAGAGUUAUCUUUUCUGCUUAAUGGCCCGCCCACCCUGAAAUGGCUCAGCCGGAGGUAGGCUGCAGCGGCCGGAAGAGCACCACAAGUUGCGUGGUGUCCGGUACGCUAAGGCGACCCGUGAAAAUCCGGAGGACCCAGUGCCUCCCAUGCCCAGUCGUACUCAUAACCGCAUCGGGUCUCCAAUGUGAAUAGCCUCUGGCCGAUGGAACAAUAUAGGUAAGGGAAGUCGACAAAACGGAUCCGUAACUUAGGAAAAAGGAUUGGCUAUGAGGGCUGGGCACUGGUGUCCCGGCCCGGAACCUGUCAGCUAUCGACGGACUACUCGAGCUGCGUCGAACAGCCGAAUUAGAACUAGUGCGGACAAGGGGAAUAUGACUGUUUAAUUGCGAUGGUCCCCGUGGAUGCUCACACAAUGUGAUUUCUACCCAGUGCUCUGAAUGUCAAAGUGAAGAAAUUCAACCAAGUGCGGGUAAACGGCAGGAGUAACUAUAACUCUCUUAAGGUAGCCAAAUGCCUUGCCAUCUAAUUAGUGAUGCGCAUGAAUGGAUUAAUGAGAUUCCCACUAUCCCUAUCUGCUAUCCAGUGAAACUACAGCCAAGGGAACGAGCUUGGCCGAAUCAGUGGGGAAAGAAGACCCUGUUGAGCUUGACUCUAGUCGGUCUUUGUGAAAUGACUUGAGAGGUGUAGGAUAAGUGGGAGCCCUCAAGCGGAAGUGAAAUACCACUACUUUUAACGUUAUUUUACUUAUUCCAUGGAUUGGAGGUGGGGCUCCGCCCCUCCUUUUGGCUCCAAGGCCGCGCCCCACGCACGGCCGAUCCGGGAGGAAGACAUUGUCAGGUGGGGAGUUUGGCUGUGGUGGCACAUCUGUUAAAAGAUAACGCAGUUGUCCUAAGAUGAGCUCAAUGUGAACAGAAAUCUCGUGUGGAACAAAAGGAAAAAAGCUCGUUUGAUUUUGAUUUCCAGUACGAAUAUAAACCGUGAAAGCGUGGCCUAUCGAUUCUUUAGCCCUUUGGGAUUUGAAGCAAGAGGUGUCAGAAAAGUUACCACAGGGAAAACUGGCUUGUGGCAGCCAAGCGAUCAUAGCGACGUUGCUUUUUGAUCCUUCGAUGUCGGCACUUCCUAUCAUUGUGAAGCAGAAUUUACCAAGUGUUGGAUUGUUCACCCACCAACAGGGAACGUGAGCUGGGUUUAGACUGUUGUGGGACAGGUUAGUUUUACCCUACUGAUGACCGCGCCGCCAUAGUAAUUCAACCUAGUACGAGAGGAACCAUUGAUUCACAUAAUUGGUCAUCGCACUUGGUUGAAAAGCCAGUGGCGCAAAGCUACCGUGUGCCAGAUUAUGGCUGAACGCCUCUAAGCCAAAAUCUAAGCUAGCGUGCGGCGCCACGCACCGCAGCCCGAAACCCUGAUCCAUAGUAGGGGACUCCGCGUCCCCCACGGGCCCGUGUCACAGGUAGCGGUCCCCUUGAUAGACCUACCGUGGGCG